rnacentral:rRNA from 1 species
UACGAAGGGGGCUAGCGUUGCUCGGAAUUACUGGGCGUAAAGCGCACGUAGGCGGCUCUUUAAGUCGGGGGUGAAAUCCUGGAGCUCAACUCCAGAACUGCCUUCGAUACUGUAGAGCUUGAGUUCGGGAGAGGUGAGUGGAACUGCGAGUGUAGAGGUGAAAUUCGUAGAUAUUCGCAAGAACACCAGUGGCGAAGGCGGCUCACUG